rnacentral:rRNA from 1 species
UUUUUCUUUAAUGGACUUAAAGGUCUAAGGUGGACAAGUAUAUGUAGUUUUUUUUCUUCUUCCUUGUCUUGAACACGGCCAAAGAGUUUUAUAUGAUGAGCGAGUCUAUGGGCUUUACGAAACCCCAAGGCGUAAUUAAUGAAAACGAUUACUUUUGUAAUAUGAAAUGUGCCCUCGUGGCAACACAGAGUGCAACAUCAAGCAGUCUAAAGAUGUUAGCAUCUGGACGGAGUCUGAGCGAUCAUGUAGAGACACGAAAGAUGGUGAACUAUGCUUGUGCAGGUUGAAGCCAAGGGGAAACUCUGGUGGAGGACCGCAGCGGUUCUGACGUGCAAAUCGAUCGUCGGACAUGAGUAUAGGGGCGAAAGACUAAUCGAACCAUUUAGUAGCUGGUUCCCUCCGAAGUUUCCCUCAGGAUAGCUGACAUUUGUGAUUGUAGUUUAACCUGGUAAAGCGAAUGAUUAGAAGUAUUGGGGACGAAAUGUUCUCAACUUAUUCUCAAACUUUAAAUGGGUUGGAAGUGUGUCUUUUUUCAUUGAAGAUGUACCUGGAAUACAAAUGUUUAGUGGGCCAUUUUUGGUAAGCAGAACUGGCGAUGUGGGAUGAACCAAACAUUUGGUUAAGGUGCCUAACAUAACGCUCAUGAGAACCCACAAAAGGUGUUGUUUGAUAAAGACAGCAGGACGGUGGACAUGGAAGUCGUCACCCGCUAAGGAGUGUGUAACAACUCACCUGCUGAAUCAACCAGCCCUGAAAAUGGAUGGCGCUGUAGCGUUGGACCUAUACCGAAUCGAUGUCGUAAGUUAUUUAUAACGAGUAUGCGAUGUCGUGUAGGAGGGUGCCGUGGUUGAUAAGAAGCUACUGGCGUGAGUCAGAGUGGAGCGGUCACGGGUACAGAUCUUGGUAGUAGUAGCAAUUAUUCAAGUGAGAUCCUUGAAGACUGAAGUGGAGAAGGGUUCCAUGUGAACAGUAUUUGAACAUGGGUUAGUCGGUCCUAAGCGAACUGGUAACUCAGUUAUCAGAUGAAGGUGAUAGACAUUAGCAAUAGUGUUUAUAUUUGACUCAUUUGCCUUUUGAAGCGAAAGGGAAUCAGUUUAAUAUUACUGAACUUGAAAUGGAAAUUUGGUUGUUUCGGCAACACAAGGUGGUAACACAAGCGAUCUCAGAGACGUUAUCAGUUGUUUUGGGAAGAGUUCUCUUUUCUUUGUAUACAUAAACAUGUCCUUAGAAUCAGGUAAUCUGGAGAAAAGGAUGUGAAAUGUUAAAAGCAUCAUGUUUCACGUGAUGUCCGAAGCACCGCUGAUGACCCUUGAAAAUAUGAGGGAGCAGUUAUAAAUUUCGUUUCAAACCGUACCGAUAUCCGCAGCAGGUCUCCUAGGUGAGCAGCCUAUAGUCUUAGAACAAUGUAGGUAAGGGAAGUCGGCAAAUUAGAUCCGUACCUUCGGUAAAAGGAUUGGCUCUAAGGACCGGGUAUGAUGGGCUUAAUUAAGAAGUUUAUUGAUUUGAAAUUGAGCUGUUUUGAUUCUGUUUUGAGGAAACUUAAAAUGGAGUUGAAAUGGUACUUUUUUGAAUUGAUUUAUGGGCGAGUUUUGCUUUGAUUGUAGAUCUUUGAAUUUGCAGUAGUCGUUGUACACUAAACGGUCAACUUAGAAUCGGCACGGAGUAGAGGAAUCAGACUGUAUAAUUAAAACAAAGCGUUGUGAUGGUUGGUAAACGGCUUUGACACGACGUGAUUUCUGCCCAGUGUUUUUUGAAUGUCAAUGUGAAGAAAUUCAACUAAGCUCUGGUUAACGGCGGGAGUAACUAUGACUCUCUUAAGGUAGCCAAAUGCCUCGUCAUCUAAUUAGUGACGUGCAUGAAUGGAUUAACGAGAUUCCUACUGUCCCUAUCUACUAUCUAGCGAAACUACAGCCAAGGGAACGGGCUUGGAAAAUAUAGCGGGGAAAGAAGACCCUGUUGAGCUUGACUCUAGUCCGACUUUGUAGGAGAACUUUAGAGGUGUAGCAUAAGUGGGAGACUUCGGUCGACAGUGAAAUACCACUACUCUGAUUGUUUUUCUACUUACUCAAUGAAGCAGUAUAAUUAACUUUUGUUAAUUUUUUUUAGUGAAAAAAUUGCGAUCUUCGGAUGCAAUUGAGAAUCCACCAC